UGUAUAUGUACAUAUAGUAUUUGUACAUAGGUAUACAAAAAGUGUAAAUAAAGCUCGCUCACAUCAUAUGGUACGUAUGUAUGUAUGCCUACAUACGCCUUUGUUAGAGCGACUGGACGGCGGGCUCAUUGGCGAUUCGGUGAAAAUACAUAUAAACACAGUCUGUGUGCGCAUGUCAGAAGGUCAAAUAGAAUACGAAAGCAUUACCCCACUUAGCGCUAGUAACGAGUAACAAAAGCACUCCCAGCGAACGACAACAUCAACCAACUUAAUUUAUGAGCUGUCAAUAGUCGAAACCAUAAGCGCAUUUAAGGCGGUGGACGCUCACAUAUGGACUAACAGACAAUAUGGCGUUUCGUGCAUUUUCACGAGAUUGAUACCCUUCAGCCAGUGAUUCAACUUAUUUAACGCGCUUGAAAAAAGCAUUUACUGGAAGCCUGAAAAAUAGGCCUCCGUGACGGAAAUAAAUUUCUCAUGCCAAUCAAUUACCUGCCGGGCAUAUGAAUUUUUUGUCUUUGGUAAUAAAAAGAAGUCGCAGGGGUACAAACUUUGCAGAAUAGGUGAAUGUGGCAAUUCAUAGCCUAAUUCAAUCAAUUUGGCCGCGGUGACGCGCGGAGGUGUGAAUUGCUGCAUUUUCAUGCUGGAAGAGUACAGUUGUCCGGAGUGAGCAAACGCGACACCCAUCUCCAACACCUUUCUCAUGCCCACUAUUUCCUCCAGUAUACGAUAGACGUUGUCUUUUAAGAUGCCACGUUCUCAGCUACAACGUACAACCUCAAUCGCUCGCCCGCUUCGACAUGCAAUCAAAACAAAACUGCGAGUCCGAUUCGGCCAGCCAGGCUAAGUACUUAUCGUACCGCCUUCGUAUAUACGGUAUUCAUAUUUUAACUACGAUCCUGCGAAAUUUCUUCAAAUAAUUAUCGAACAUGUGAAUUAUGAACGUUUGCAUUAUACGAAAAGUAAAUACAAGUAUGUUUGCAUA